ensembl:lncRNA
AUUGACACUCUUUUCGUGUGUGUGUGUGUGUGUGUGUGUGUGUGUGUGUGUGAGAGAGAGAGAGAGAGAGAGAGAGAGAGAGAGAGAGAGAGAGAGGGAGAGAGAGAGAGAGAGAGAGAGAGAGAGAGAGAGAGAGAGAGAGAGAGAGAGAGAGAGAGGGAGCAGUCACUUUAGAUGAUGGGGAGGAUUAAAUCACGGCAGGAUGGAGAGUAAAGUGAGCUGACGGAUGGAGGUGUAAUGAACGUCUGUCCGUCCCAGCCAUGGAAGGAUGUGAAUGCAGUGAUGCGCGACUGGAAGAGCUCGUAAAAGAAGUGUCGGAACGGACGGCUUCCGGCUCAGUGCGGGGACCUGCGAGGACCUUUACG